GUAUUUUGUUCUAUGCCAACAUCCUCCGAAAACUUGGGAUGGUCAUGAAAAUGACGGAGCUGCAAGCGGGCCGACCCGACUUAUGAUCUCCCUGCCGGGGCAGGGAGCAGCGCUGCGCCCUCACUCCCACGGUGCACAGUGUGAAGAUGUGAAAGCGCGCUUCCAGUUGGAAGACGCGACGUUUCGGUAAUGAUCCCUCCGCAGGUUCACCUACGGAGA
rnacentral:misc_RNA from 1 species